rnacentral:rRNA from 1 species
AGAGUUUGAUUCUGGCUCAGGACGAACGCUGGCGGCGUGCUUAACACAUGCAAGUCGAACGGACGUAGAAAUACGUUAGUGGCGGACGGGUGAGUAACGCGUGAGCAAUCUGCCUCUAUCAUCGGGAUAACACACGGAAACGAGUGCUAAUACCGAAUAAGACCACAUACCGGCAUCGGAGAGGGGUCAAAGAUUUUAUCGGAUAGAGAUGAGCUCGCGUCCCAUUAGCUAGUUGGUAGGGUAACGGCUUACCAAGGCGACGAUGGGUAGCCGACCUGAGAGGGUGAUCGGCCACACUGGAACUGAGAUACGGUCCAGACUCCUACGGGAGGCAGCAGUGGGGAAUAUUGGGCAAUGGAGGCAACUCUGACCCAGCAACGCCGCGUGAAUGAAGAAGGUCUUCGGAUUGUAAAGUUCUUUAGCGAGGGACGAAAAGAAUGACGGUACCUCGAGAAUAAGCCACGACUAACUACGUGCCAGCAGUCGCGGUAAUACGUAGGUGGCGAGCGUUGUCCGGAAUGACUGGGCGUAAAGGGAGCGUAGGCGGCACAACAAGUUAGGAGUGAAAUACCGUGGCUUAACCACGGAACUGCUUUUAAAACUGUUGAGCUAGAGUGAUGGAGAGGAAAGCGGAAUUCCUAGUGUAGCGGUGGAAUGCGUAGAUAUUAGGAGGAACACCAGAGGCGAAGGCGGCUUUCUGGACAUUAACUGACGCUGAGGCUCGAAAGCGUGGGGAGCAAACAGGAUUAGAUACCCUGGUAGUCCACGCCGUAAACG